GAAAAGGAGCAAUCCGGUACAGGAUGGACCCGCGUCUGAUUAGCCAGUUGGCAGGGUAACGGCCUACCAAAGCGACGAUCAGUAGCCGAUCUGAGAGGAUGUACGGCCACAUUGGGACUGAGAGGCGGCCCAGACUCCUACGGGAGGCAGCAGUGGGGAAUAUUGCACAAUGGAGGAAAGUUUGAUGCAGCGACGCCGCGUGAGUGAAGAAGUAUUUCGGUAUGUAAAGCUCUAUCAGCAGGGAAGAAAAUGACGGUACCUGACUAAGAAGCACCGGCUAAAUACGUGCCAGCAGCCGCGGUAAUACGUAUGGUGCAAGCGUUAUCCGGAUUUACUGGGUGUAAAGGGAGCGUAGGUGGCAAGGCAAGCCAGAAGUGAAAACCCGGGGCUCAACCGCGGGAUUGCUUUUGGAACUGUCAUGCUAGAGUGCAGGAGGGGUGAGCGGAAUUCCUAGUGUAGCGGUGAAAUGCGUAGAUAUUAGGAGGAACACCAGAGGCGAAGGCGGCUCACUGGACUGUAACUGACACUGAGGCUCGAAAGCGUGGGGAGCAAACAGGAUUAGAUACCCUGGUAGUCCACGCGGUAAACGAUGAAUACUAGAUGUCGGGUAGCAAAGCUACUCGGUGUC
rnacentral:rRNA from 1 species